rnacentral:rRNA from 1 species
CCUACGGGUGGCUGCAGUGGGGGAUAUUGGACAAUGGGGGGAACCCUGAUCCAGCGACGCCGCGUGAGUGAAGAAGUAUUUCGGUAUGUAAAGCUCUGUCAGCAGGGAAGAAAGAAAUGACGGUACCUGACCAAGAAGCCCCGGCUAACUACGUGCCAGCAGCCGCGGUAAUACGUAGGGGGCAAGCGUUAUCCGGAAUUACUGGGUGUAAAGGGAGCGUAGACGGUUAAGUAAGUCUGGAGUGAAAGGCCGGGGCUCAACCCCGGGACUGCUCUGGAAACUAUUUAACUUGAGUGCAGGAGAGGUAAGCGGAAUUGCUAGUGUAGCGGUGAAAUGCGUAGAGAUUAGGAGGAACACCAGUGGCGAAGGCGGCUUACUGGACUGUAACUGACGUUGAGGCUCGAAAGCGUGGGGAGCAAACAGGAUUAGAUACCCGUGUAGUC